rnacentral:rRNA from 1 species
AGUCGAACGGCAGCACGGACUUCGGUCUGGUGGCGAGUGGCGAACGGGUGAGUAAUGUAUCGGAACGUGCCUAGUAGCGGGGGAUAACUACUGCGAAAGCGUAGCUAAUACCGCAUACGCCCUUCGGGGAAAGCGGGGGACCUUCGGGCCUCGCACUGUAGAACGGCCGAUAUCGGAUUAGCUAGUUGGUGGGGUAACGGCUCACCAAGGCGACGAUCCAUGUGGUUUGAGGACGACCAGCCACACUGGGACUGAGACACGGCCCAGACUCCUACGGGAGGCAGCAGUGGGGAAUUUUGGACAAUGGAAACCCUGAUCCAGCCAUCCCGCGUGCGAUGAAGGCCUUCGGGUUGUAAAAAGCGCACUGGCAGAAAGAAACGGCACGGGAUAAUACCCAUUGCAACUGACAAUACACAGAAUAAGCACCGGCGCUAACUACGUGCCAGCAGCCGCGGUAAUACGUAGGGUGCCAAGCGUUAAUCCGGAAUUGCAGAUAAAGCGUGCGCGAGCAGUUCAGAAAGAAAGAUGUAAAUCCCAGAGCUUAACUUUGGAACUGCAUUUUUAACUACCGAGCUGAAAUUAUUGUCAAGAGGAAGUGGAAUUCCGCGAUGUAGCAGUGAAAUGCGUAGAUAUGCGGAGGAACACCGAUAGCGAAGGCAGCCUCCUGGGACAUGACGCUCAUGCACGAAAGUGAGGCAAACAGGAUUAGAUACCCUGGUAGUCCACGCCCUAAACGAUGUCAACUAGCUGUUGGGGCCUUCGGGCCUUGGUAGCGCAACUAACGCGUGAAGUUGACCGCCUGGAAAUACAGGUCUCAAGAUUAAACUCAAAGGAAUUGACGGGGACCCGCACAAGCGGUGGAUGAUGUCGUUCAAUUCGAUGCAACGCGAAAAACCCUUAUUUGUAUCUGGAAUCCCGAAGAGAUUUGGGAGUGCUCGCAAGAGAACCGGAACACAGGUGCUGCAUGGCUGUCGUCAGCGUGUCGUGAGAUGUUGGGUUAAAUCCCGCAACAGGCGCAACCCUUGUAUUAGUUGCUACGAAAGGGCACUCUAAUGAGACUGCCAGUGACAAGCGGAGGAAGGUGGGGAUGACGUCAAGUCCUCAUGGCCCUUAUGGGUAGGGCUUCACACGUCAUACAGCGGUCUGGAUGGUCGCCAACCCGAGGAGCCAAUCCCAGAAACCCGAUCGUAGUCCGGAUCGCAGUCUGCAACUCGACUGCGUGAAGUCGGGUCGCUAGUAAUCGCGGAUCAGCAUGUCGCGGUGGGCCGUUCCCCGCUGUGCACACCGCCCGUCACACCAGCUGAUUCGGUUUACCAGAAGUAGUUAGCCUAACCGUAAGGAGGCGAUUACCACGGUAGGAUUCAUGACUGGGGUGAAGUCGUAACAAAGGUAACCCUGUUACUACCUGAUGAAC